UACAGAGGCCCCAAGCGUUACUGAGAAUCACUGGGUUUAAAGGGUGCGUAGGUGGCGCGUUAAGUCCGUUGUGAAAGCCCUGGGCUCAACCCAGGAACUGCUUCGGAUACUGGCGCGCUUGAGGCUAGUAGGGGUCACUGGAACUGACGGUGGAGCGGUGAAAUGCGUAGAUAUCGAGAAGAACACCGGUGGCGAAGGCGGCCAACUGGACGGUGACUGACACUGAGACGCGAAAGCGUGGGGAGCAAACAGG
rnacentral:rRNA from 1 species